GAUGAACGCUGGCGGCGUGCCUAAUACAUGCAAGUCGAGCGAACAGACGAGGAGCUUGCUCCUCUGACGUUAGCGGCGGACGGGUGAGUAACACGUGGAUAACCUACCUAUAAGACUGGGAUAACUUCGGGAAACCGGAGCUAAUACCGGAUAAUAUAUUGAACCGCAUGGUUCAAUAGUGAAAGACGGUUUUGCUGUCACUUAUAGAUGGAUCCGCGCCGCAUUAGCUAGUUGGUAAGGUAACGGCUUACCAAGGCAACGAUGCGUAGCCGACCUGAGAGGGUGAUCGGCCACACUGGAACUGAGACACGGUCCAGACUCCUACGGGAGGCAGCAGUAGGGAAUCUUCCGCAAUGGGCGAAAGCUUGACGGAGCAACGCCGCGUGAGUGAUGAAGGUCUUCGGAUCGUAAAACUCUGUUAUUAGGGAAGAACAAAUGUGUAAGUAACUAUGCACGUCUUGACGGUACCUAAUCAGAAAGCCACGGCAACUACGUG
rnacentral:rRNA from 1 species